rnacentral:tRNA from 1 species
AAGGGGGUGGCAGAUUGGUCAUGCGGUUGACUUGAAAUCAAAAUAUGGGGGUUCAAUUCCCUCUUUCCUGGUA